AGUUUUUUGAGGCAAAGUUUACAGAAGAAAUUAUUCGAUUUUCAUAUACACGUUCGAAGGUAUGUAUAUGUUCAACAGUAAAUAUAUCUCUUCUAAUGUAAUGUAUCUCUUCUUCGUGGAAUGUCCAUUCAAGGUUUUCUAACAUUUGAUUAUUUCCUCUCAUGUAGUCCUUCCGACAGUUUGUUGUUGACGUUCUUGCUUAAACCAGUAAAUUGUGUCAUACGAACGCGGAACGCCACGACUUUAUAGUCCGAAUGUAAGUAUAUAUUUUGCUGUUUGGUUAUAUGCUUUUACUGUAUUGCUGUCUUGUCAGUUGACCUUUAAUAUUUUCCUUUAAUAAACGAGAAAUUUUAAACACAAUAGUAGGCUUUCAUGGCAUGGACACAGCAUGAUGGAUUUUUUUCAAAAGGGCAUGUCUUAAAAACCGGUAAAUAUUGUAGCUCAUACAUUGCAUUACAGUAAAAUGGAUUCUUAAUCUGAGUAUUAUCAUAUUUUAACUGCAUACAUUCAACAUGUUUGCUGCAUAUUAUAGACUCGUUUUUGAUCAUAAACGUUGCUGUAACAUGAGAACUAUAGGGAAAUUUGAAUAUAUAAGGCGCUUAGUUUGAAUAAUUUUGUGUUUGUUUUUUCCAAGAUGCUAAAUAACGUACAUAGCUGUUGUUAUACAAUCAUUUAUGAAUUCGUUUCAUUGAAUCUUUUCCAACACAAAAACCAAUAGCGUAUUGGAAAAUUUGCGCGACUUUUAUAUUUCAGAGCACGAUCGAAUCCGUUGAGUCAGUGAAGUGUCUGUUUCUAACAUGCAAAUUGUUUGCACUUUUAGAAAACGGCUGAUGCGUCUGCAGGUAAAGAUGGCCAAAAUAAAGAGUGACUCGAGUCUGUUGCACGAAAGUAUAACGUUCUUUUAUGCCGGUUUUCCACUAGCGAAUUUUUUCGUGCGAAACGACAUUUAUAUGGUUAAAAUUUAGAAGACUUUAUCAUAAGGUGAUAAGUAAUUUUACAUAAGUUCCAGCUGACUGAGCAGAGAGCUCAUAAGCCAAAAGAAUAUAUAGUCUGUUCGCGCGACAAAAUUCACUUUAGCUUCUAUAAUCUCUAGACUAUAUUACCUUUGUCCAAAUAUCGUUGUAUUCUACCAUCAUAAAUAUCUAUAUCUUGGACUAUUUUCUCCUUUAUCUUUUAUCUUUACGUAAAUAAUAUUAUAUUAUAUUAUAUUAUGAUUUAUGUAUUUAUAUGUAUGUAUUUUUAUGUAUGAACGUUUCCCUGC